GCGGAGGUUCUGCUGCCUGUGCGUCAACGGGCGAGGGGACGGCGCGGAAUGCCGCCGCGGGAGGGAGGUCUGCAGUCGUCCCUCGGAGCCGGCCUCCUGGCCUGUCCCUUUGUCUCCUCCAUACAGACCUUUGGAUUCCAAUUCCACCGACUCCAAGAAGUUGGGUCAGACCCUGUUGAAGUUUUACAAUAACCCGGCCGGUCCGACGGGGUCUCAUCCAGGCGGUGGGGCAGAGAGAGACAAGAGAGACACAGGACCCCGGUGAAGGGUCCCCAGGCUUGUCGGGGAAAAGACUGGACACAGGGACUAGAGGACGAGAUGGAACAAUGCUAAUAGCAUCUACGAACUUAGUGAAGUGUUACUGGUCCUUACUUCAGAGUAGAGAAUGUCGUGAAGACAAGAGGACCCACCUAGUUCUGCAUAUCCUGCCAUGAAGAGCAGAGCGAGAAGCUUUUUUGUUGGCUGCCACCAUCUCUCUUGGAAUCUGAAUUUAGCUUCGGGAGCUUACCUAUCGUUACAACACUGAAUUACCCUCUUGUAAGACCUUGGACAAGUCCUCUAAUGCCUUGAUAUCUCAGAUUUUUUUCAAUUCUCCCUGAAGAUAAGAAUAGUAUCCACCUCAUAGCGGUGGUGUGGGAACUCCAUGAGACGACGCACGAGAAGCCCCUCACACAGUCUCUGGGGCCACCGCAGACAGCGAACAGGUGAGACCUGCUAUUGUCGCCACGACCUCAAGAAAUGAUAGCUGAGGCAAAGCUGAACUAGACUGUCAUUCAGGGCUCUUAGUUGCAAGCAACAGAAGCUGACUUUGGCUUAUAGAGUAGGAAAGGAAAUUUUAAAAUGACACUGGGUAGCUCACGGUUACCCAGUUGUUGGGAGGGCUGGAGAGCUCAGUCUAAGCUUCCAGUGACAAAGCUCCAAGCCCACCAUGCCACCCCUGCCACUGGUCUUGUGGCAGCCCACAACAGCUUGCGGCACCAAGGCCAUUACUGUGGCAGGAACCUAACCCUAUACCCGCUACGCCCCCGAAGCCAGACUCCUCUGCUGCUGCCUUUGCCAGCAAAGUGGAAUUUUCCCAGAGCCUCUGAAUUGAAGUCUUGUGUGGGACAGGAGGACUCCCGGUGAUUUAUUAAGAAGGUGAAAUUAUGUGCCCAGUUGGGAACUCUGGGGAGCUCUCGCUGAAAUUAACUUGAGUGUUUUGGAGCCAGAUUGACAUGGCAGAAUGGACCUGGGACUGCUCCUUUUGGCAGAAGCUGCUGGGCCACUGUGGAUGAUCUUUCCCAUGUUGCACAAUGUCCCCAAAGCCCUUGGAGCCAUGCUCAGCCCCAUCCUGGCAUCCCCUGUGUCCCUCGUGCCUCUGCCAUGGAGGUCCAGCCACUUUACUUGGCUGUGGGUCUCAUCAACUUGCAGAAAGAACGUGUGCACAAAUAAAAAAUGGAAAAUGUAGAAACGUAUGAAGACAAAAGAACCACCAAGACAAAUAAACCAAACCCAGGGUCAUCAGCAAUUCCUCCUUGCCAAGAUAAAAUGUGAACAUUUUAGUUCCUUUCUUUUCCAUCUUGUUCUUUGUGUGUGUCCACGCAUUCACACACACACACACACAUGUAAAAUGGGGAUUACAUUGUAUAUUUUUUGUUUCCAGCUUUUUCCACUUAGCCAUAUAGUGUUAACAUUUCACCACAUCA